CGCGGCCUAUCAGCUUGUUGGCGAGGUAACGGCUCACCAAGGCAUCGACGGGUAGCUGGUCUGAGAGGACGAUCAGCCACACUGGGACUGAGACACGGCCCAGACUCCUGCGGGAGGCAGCAGUGGGGAAUCUUGCGCAAUGGGCGAAAGCCUGACGCAGCAACGCCGCGUGGGGGAUGAAGGCUCUCGGGUUGUAAACCCCUUUCAGCAGGGACGAAAUUGACGGUACCUGAAGAAGAAGCCCCGGCCAACUACGUGCCAGCAGCCGCGGUGACACGUAGGGGGCGAGCGUUGUCCGGAAUUAUUGGGCGUAAAGAGCUCGUAGGCGGUUUAGUAAGUCAGAUGUGAAAGGUUGGGGCUCAACCCUAAGACUGCAUCCGAUAUUGCUAUGACUAGAGUCCGGUAGAGGAGUGUGGAAUUCCUGGUGUAGCGGUGAAAUGCGCAGAUAUCAGGAGGAACACCGACGGCGAAGGCAGCACUCUGGGCCGGUACUGACGCUCAGGAGCGAAAGCGUGGGUAGCAAACAGGAUUAGAUACCCUGGUAGUCCACGCCGUAAACGUUGGGCACUAGGUGUGGGGCCUUAUCAACGGGUUCCGUGCCGUAGCUAACGCAUUAAGUGCCCCGCCUGGGGAGUACGG
rnacentral:rRNA from 1 species